rnacentral:lncRNA from 1 species
AAGAAUUAUACGAGGAGGAGAGUGAAGUGUGUUGAUAACACGCGCUUGGUGCAGUUGAAUAUUGAAAUUGCAAUGACAUGGUCAAUUGUAAGUUUGAGCUGCAGAAAGAUGUCUGUCUGAGGGGCAGAGAGAAGAGAGUUAUGUGGCUUGCCUUAAAUGAGUUUGCAAUUAUGUGCGGUACUAUUGUUUUUUGACUCACCUCUGCUCUCUGCUCUUCACCAUGUGACCAAUGCCCC